rnacentral:rRNA from 1 species
AGCAGUCGCCACGGUAAUACGUAGGGUGCAAGCGUUAAUCGGAAUUACUGGGCGUAAAGCGUGCGCAGGCGGUCCGCUAAGACAGAUGUGAAAUCCCCGGGCUUAACCUGGGAACUGCAUUUGUGACUGGCGGGCUAGAGUAUGGCAGAGGGGGGUAGAAUUCCACGUGUAGCAGUGAAAUGCGUAGAGAUGUGGAGGAAUACCGAUGGCGAAGGCAGCCCCCUGGGCCAAUACUGACGCUCAUGCACGAAAGCGUGGGGAGCAAACAGGAUUAGAUACCCGAGUAGUCCCUGUCUCUUAUAC